ACAUAUACAUACAUAUAUACAUACAUACAUAUAUAUAUAUAUAUAUAUAUAUAUGUAUGUGUGUGUGUGUGUGUGUGU
rnacentral:miRNA from 1 species